CAGCAGCCGCGGGAAUACGAAGGGUGCAAGCGUUAAUCGGAAUUACUGGGCGUAAAGCGUGCGUAGGUGGUGAGUUAAGUCUGCUGUGAAAUCCCCGGGCCCAACCUGGGAAUGGCAGUGGAUACUGGCUCGCUAGAGUGUGUCAGAGGAUGGUGGAAUUCCCGGUGUAGCGGUGAAAUGCGUAGAGGUGUGGAGGAACACCGAUGGCGAAGGCAGCCCCCUGGGCCAAUACUGACGCUCAUGCACGAAAGCGUGGGGAGCAAACAGGAUUAGAUACCCGCGUAGUCCCUGUCUCUUAUAC
rnacentral:rRNA from 1 species